rnacentral:lncRNA from 1 species
GCAAGGCGGGAGGAAUGUGGAGAGAAACAGCAGAGCGCAAUGAAAGCAGACAGAGCCACACUGUUACUGAGAAGAGCAAACUGUUAAUACAACGGAAUUCAGGAUAGAAGAGAGACCCGACAUGGAGAUAGAGGAAGCACACCCUGAGGAAACUGCAGAAAGCCAAGAGAAGGUGGAAGAAAGAAGUCUUACUUUUGAGCAUGAGAAAGAGUGUGGGCAGGAGGCAGUCACCAGUUGACAGAGAAGGGCCAUGGUGACAUUGCACUGGUACAGAAAACAAUAGUGCUCUGGAGGUGAAGUCAAUGCAGAUCCCAUAGCAAAAGAACUCAUUGCACUGCUGUCUGGAAGAGGCUUCUUUUGGUAUAAUCAGAAAAAGCACACUUCCUGCUUUAUUGCAUCAUACAUCAGUUCAUUUACGUGAAAAAAAAUGUAUUGCUUGCCAGCUUGUGCAAAGUGCUGGAGAUACAAAGAAAAACUGGACACGGUUCCCAUCCUUGCAAAAUAUGCAAUGUACUGAGAAUUCAUGGUGGAGGUACAGAUUUCUGAAUUCUAAAAAGGCUCAGGGAAGGAUUCAUAGAAGAGGAAGUUGUUUUAAUUAUGACUGGAAGAAGAAGAAAGGGGCCAGUGAAACAGCAAUGUACAGGCAUAAUGGCAUAUAGUAAGGUAAAAGUUAAACUGAUUGUAGGUAAGCAUGAAGCUAUUGAAGUGUGUGUAUUGGCCAGUUAAGGUCCCAACAGAACACAGAUGUCACACAGAAAUUAGGAUAAUUUUAGAAGGCUUUCUUUUUUUUCCAUAGGUAGGAUUUAUAAAAGCAUACAAAGAAAACAUAGGAUAAGACAGUGAUCUGUGCAAAUAACACUGGAGAAGCUGUUUUUAUACCCAAAAGGAUAAGAUGAGGGAGCAAUUGUCAGAUCCCAAAAGGAGAAAGUCUGGUAGAGAAUGUUGCCUUGAGAGAAGCAGUAAACUGAGGCAGAGCCCAGGAGGAUUUGCAGAGAGGAAUGCAAGACAUUAAACCCCAUGAGGCUACUCUUCUCCCUCACUCUGAUCUCCUGGGGCUGAACAAGCUUGGAAGCUCAUUAAUGUGGUCCCACUGCACAGAGCAGGAUGGAGGGGUGAAAAUGGAUCUGGAGAGGUAAACAAAACAUACCCAGCAUAAAAUCUGUGUAGAAAACUUGCAGAAGGCGAGUUGGGUGGGGUGAAUAGUGACAUGAUUAUAAAGUAACUUGAAUACUAAUUAGAACUUUUACUUUAUUUUGAAUUUUUAGGAAGACUGAAAUAUUUAAUGCUUUAAAUCAGGAGAGGGACAGAUUUGUAUUUUAGAACAUUCACUCUGGCAGUGGUCAAGAGGAUUGACAAGGUCAGACUGGGUCUAGAGAAACUAGUUAGAAACUUUUUCAGUAUUUGGCUAAAAAAAUCUGAAAAAGAGAAAACCGUAGGUGCUGGACUUGGGGUAGAGAUUAACUUAAGAAACAGGGAACUUAAACAAAUCAACAAGCAAAAAACAAAUAACCUCAUUAAAAAUGGGCAAAGGACAUGAAUGGAUACAUCUCAAAAGAAGACAUAUGAGUGGCCAACAAACAUAUGAAAAAGUGCUCAGCAUCAGGAAUCACCAGAGAAUGGAAAUAAAAGCCACAGUGAGAUACCGUCUCCCACCAGUCAUAAUGCCUAUUAUUUAAAAAGCCAAAAAACAACUGAUGCUGGUGAGGCUGCAGAAAAAUGGAAAAGCUUAUACACUUUUGGAAGGAGUGUAAAUGAGUCCAGCCACUGUGGAAAGUAGCCCGCAAAUUUCUGAAGAGACUUAAAAUAUAAUUACCAUUUGACCCAGCAAUCCCAUUACUGGAUGUAUACCCAAAGGAAAAUAAAUCAUUCUAACAAAAGGACACAUGCACUCAUAGGUUUGUUGCUGCACUAUUCACAACAGCAAAGACAUGGAAUCAACCAAGUGCUAAUCAAUGAUUGACUGGAUAAAGAAAAUAUACCAUAGAAUGCCAUGAUAAAGGAAAUCAUUUCCUUUGCAGCAACAUGGAUAGAGCUGAAGGCCAUUAUCCUAAAUGAAUUUAUGUGGGAACAGGAAAGCAAAUACCAUAUGCUUUCAGUUAUAAGUGGGAGCUAAACACUGAGCACUAAUGUACAUAAAUAUGAAAACAGUAGACACCGUGGACUACUAGAGGGGAGAGGGAGGUGGGGACAGGUGAAAAACCUACCAUCCGGGUACUACGCUCACUUCCUGUGUGACAGGAUCAGUACUACAAACCUCAACAUCAUGCAAUAUUCCCAUGUAACAAACCUACACAAGUACCUCCUACAUGUAAAAUAAAAGUUGAAAUAAAAAGGAAGAAAGAAAAACUGGAGAGGGCAUCCUACAAAAUAACUGGCCUGUUCUCCUAAAAAAUUUCAUAGUAAUAAAAGUCAAGGAAAAACUGGGGCCUGUCCCAGAAUGAAGGAGACUAAAGAGACAUGAUAAAUUACUGAGAAAAAUAGUCAUAAAUGAAUUAUCUUUUCUGCAGAGAAGACAAUUGGUGAAAUUUGAAAGGAUCCAAGGACUAGACAGUACUGAUAUAUUAAUGUUAAUUUCUUGGUUUGAAUGAUUAUAUUAUGGUUGUAAGAAUAUCCUUUUGUAGGAAGUGUACCCUGAAGUAUUGGGUGGUGUUGGGGCAUUUCAUCAACAACUUGAUCUUAAAUGAUUUGUUAAAAAAUUACACUGUACUUACAUUUUUUAAGGUUUGAGAUUGUUUACAAUUUAUUAAAAUUAUUUGGUUUUGCAACGAUAAUGGAAACACAUACAUUGGUGUGGCACAAUAUCACUGUAAAAACGACGUUCUUAAUUACAAAGGCUGUGGAGCAGAAAUGUACUUUGAAUAGUUGUGGUACAUAUAUAGUUUAUAAUUAUGUUAUUAAAGAGGCUGUUAUAUUCAACCAAUAAAAGUUGAAGCUGAGGGUGUUAAAAUUUACAUGUAUUUUUGUAUUUAAGAGUUAGAGUCCCUGAGUGACCCUGAGGGAUCAGGCUGUCAUGGACUUCAUGUGAAAUUGCACUUUUGCUUGGCUUGUUCUCCUUUUAUCUCCUGCUUCCCCUCCUCUAAGACUGGUUUCUAUAGGAGAAAGCUUCCUAAUAAAGCACUUUCACCUAAAUCCUUAGCUUAA